UACGUAGGCAGCGAGCGUUGUUCGGAGUUACUGGGCGUAAAGGGUGUGUAGGCGGUUUUCUAAGUUUGGUGUGAAAUCUCCCGGCUCAACCGGGAGGGUGCGCCGAAAACUGGGAGACUAGAGUGCGGGAUGGGAGAGUAGAAUUCCUGGUGUAGCGGUGAAAUGCGUAGAUAUCAGGAGGAAUACCGGUGGUGUAGACGGCUCUCUGGACCGUAACUGACGCUGAGACACGAAAGCGUGGGUAGCAAACAGG
rnacentral:rRNA from 1 species